UCUACGGGUGGCAGCAGUGGGGAAUAUUGCACAAUGGGGGAAACCCUGAUGCAGCGACGCCGCGUGAGUGAAGAAGUUUUUCGGUAUGUAAAGCUCUAUCAGCAGGGAAGAAAAUGACGGUACCUGAUUAAGAAGCCCCGGCUAACUACGUGCCAGCAGCCGCGGUAAUACGUAGGGGGCAAGCGUUAUCAGGAUUUACUGGCUGUAAAGGGAGCGUAGACGGAGGCAUAAGUCUGGAGUGAAAUGCCGGGGCUUAACCCCGGAACUGCUUUGGAAACUGUGCAGCUAGAGAGCAGGAGAGGUAGGUGGAAUGCCUGGUGUAGCGGUGAAAUGCGUAGAGAUUAGGCGGAACACCGGUGGCGAAGGCGGCUUACUGGACUGUAACUGACGUUGAGGCUCGAAAGCGUGGGGAGCAAACAGGAUUAGAUACCCGAGUAGUC
rnacentral:rRNA from 1 species